rnacentral:rRNA from 1 species
AUUGAACGCUGGCGACAGGCUUAACACAUGCAAGUCGAGCGAGCGGCGGACGGGUGAGUAAUGUCUGGGAAACUGCCUGAUGGAGGGGGAUAACUACUGGAAACGGUAGCUAAUACCGCAUACCAUCAGAUGUGCCCCGAUGGGAUUAGCUAGUAGGUGGGGUAAUGGCUCACCUAGGCGACGAUCCCUAGCUGGUCUGAGAGGAUUCCCAGCCACACGGGAACGGAUAAACGGUCAAGACGCCUACGGGAGGCAGCAGGGGGGAAUAUUGCACAAUGGGCGCAAGCCUGAGGAAGCCAUGCCGCGGGUGUGAAAAAGGCCUUCGGGUUGUAAAGCACUUUCAGCGAGGAGGCGGUACUCGCAGAAGAAGCACCGGCUAACUCCGUGCCAGCAGCCGCGGUAAUUC